UACGGAGGGUGCAAACGUUGCUCGGAAUUAUUGGGCGUAAAGCGCACGUAGGCGGACUAUCAAGUCGGAUGUGAAAGCCCUCAGCUUAACUGAGGAAGUGCACUCGAAACUGACAGUCUUGAGUACGGGAGAGGGUCGCGGAAUUCCCGGUGUAGAGGUGAAAUUCGUAGAGAUCGGCAGGAACACCCAGGGGGAAACCAGUCGACUGGGCAUCUACUGACGCUGAGGUGCGAGAGCGUGGGGAGCGAACCGG
rnacentral:rRNA from 1 species